AUUGAACGCUGGCGGCAUGCCUUACACAUGCAAGUCGAACGGCAGCACGGGUGCUUUCACCUGGUGGCGAGUGGCGAACGGGUGAGUAAUACAUCGGAACAUGUCCUGUAGUGGGGGAUAGCCCGGCGAAAGCCGGAUUAAUACCGCAUACGAUCUACUGAAGAAAGCGGGGGACCUUCGGGCCUCGCGCUAUACGGUUGGCCGAUGGCUGAUUAGCUAGUUGGUGGGGUAAAGGCCUACCAAGGCGACGAUCAGUAGCUGGUCUGAGAGGACGACCAGCCACACUGGGACUGAGACACGGCCCAGACUCCUACGGGAGGCAGCAGUGGGGAAUUUUGGACAAUGGGCGAAAGCCUGAUCCAGCAAUGCCGCGUGUGUGAAGAAGGCCUUCGGGUUGUAAAGCACUUUUGUCCGGAAAGAAAUCCUUGGCCCUAAUACGGUCGGGGGAUGACGGUACCGGAAGAAUAAGCACCGGCUAACUACGUG
rnacentral:rRNA from 1 species